CCCCACCGGCAGCAUCACCAACACCAACAAAACCAGUACUAGCAUUACCAGGACUGCCACCACCUCCAACCAUGUUCGCCGUUUCUGAUUGCACACGAGCCCAGGCUUAGAUAGAAGCAGAACGUUAGUCUGCUCUCACCAGCUCGUGGUGAUACAAACGUUGCAUUAUAUCUCUCCAGUUCAUAUAUAUAUAUAUACUAUUCACGUUAUACUGUGUCCUACGUAUGUGCGUUUUUCUUGUUUUUUUAUUCCUAAUAUCUUGGAAAUAAGAAGAAGUUGUUUAACCGCAAGUUGCUGCUUUAUUCUAUCUGAUUUAGAGAUCUCGUGAAUCGUCUAAGUGUGAACAAUAUCAAUUAUUGUAUUAUUAUGAUAAUAAUCUCAUAGUGUGAGAAAAAGAGGAAGACUUUUUAAUAAUAUUAUCGUUGUUAUGGUUGUUCUUGUUAUUUAUCAACGAGAAAAGCUUAUUAACUUUGUUAACAAUCGUUAAAAUAGUUCCAAAGGAUUCAUACCAUAUAGAAAAAAGUUCAUGGGUUUGACAUCGACUAAUAUAGCAAUUAAGUGCCGGAUAAAUUGUCGGAAGUCCUGGGGGAUGUUCUGGAGUUAGCAUGCGGCGGCGGAGGAGGUGGAGG
rnacentral:lncRNA from 1 species